CAGUAGCCGCGGUAAUACGUAGGGUGCAAGCGUUAAUCGGAAUUACUGGGCGUAAAGCGUGCGCAGGCGGUUAUAUAAGACAGAUGUGAAAUCCCCGGGCUCAACCUGGGAACUGCAUUUGUGACUGUAUAGCUAGAGUACGGCAGAGGGGGAUGGAAUUCCGCGUGUAGCAGUGAAAUGCGUAGAUAUGCGGAGGAACACCGAUGGCGAAGGCAAUCCCCUGGGCAUGUACUGACGCUCAUGCACGAAAGCGUGGGGAGCAAACAGGAUUAGAUACCCCAGUAGUCCCUGUCUCUUAUCU
rnacentral:rRNA from 1 species